CGCUGCUAACUGCAGUCGACGGCCCCUUCGGGGGUAGUGGCGGACGGCUGAGUAACACGUGGGUGACCUGCCCUCGAGCGGGGGAUAACUGCCCGAAAGGGUGGCUAAUACCGCAGAUGUCGUGCAUUCGGUUGCGCGACUGAACCUCCGGGGUUCGAGGAGGGGCCCGCGGCCGAUUAGCUCGCUGGUGGGGUAAUGGCCUACCAGGGCAUCGAUCGGUAGCUGGUCUGAGAGGAUGAUCAGCCAGACUGGGACUGCGAACGGCCCAGACUCCUACGGGAGGCAGCAGUUAGGAAUUUUGGGCAAUGGGCGGAAGCCUGACCCAGCAACGCCGCGUGGGUGAUGAAGGCCCUCGGGUCGUAAAGCCCUUUUCCCAGGGAAGAUGAUGACGGUACCUGGGGAAUCAGCCCCGGCUAACUACGUGCCAGCAGCCGCGGUAAUACGUAGGGGGCAAGCGUUGUCCGGAUUUAUUGGGCGUAAAGCGCUCGCAGGUGGUCCGAUGCGUCGUGCGUGAAAGACCCCGGCUCAACUGGGGGGUGUCGUGCGAUACGGUCGGACUGGAGGCCAGUAGGGGGAUGCGGAAUUCCGGGUGUAGUGGUGGAAUGCGUAGAGAUCCGGAGGAACACCAGCGGCGAAGGCGGCAUCCUGGACUGGUCCUGACACUCAGGAGCGAAAGCGUGGGGAGCGAUCCGGAUUAGAUACCCGGGUAGUCCACGCUGUAAACGAUGAGCACUAGGUGUCGGGGGUAUCGACCCCCUCGGUGCCGCAGCUAACGCGAUAAGUGCUCCGCCUGGGGACUACGGCCGCAAGGCUAAAACUCAAAGGAAUUGACGGGGGCCCGCACAAGCAG
rnacentral:rRNA from 1 species